rnacentral:rRNA from 1 species
UACGUAGGGGGGCAAGCGUUGUCCGGAAUUAUUGGGGCGUAAAGAGCGUGUAGGCGGUCCGGUAAGUCGGCUGUGAAAGUCCAGGGCUCAACCCUGGGAUGCCGGUCGAUACUGCCCGGACUAGAGUUCGGAAGAGGCGAGUGGAAUUCCCGGUGUAGCGGUGAAAUGCGCAGAUAUCGGGAGGAACACCUAUGGCGAAGGCAGCUCGCUGGGACGUUACUGACGCUGAGACGCGAAAGCGUGGGGAGCAAACAGG